AUUGAACGCUGGCGGCAUGCUUUACACAUGCAAGUCGAACGGCAGCGCGGGGCAACCUGGCGGCGAGUGGCGAACGGGUGAGUAAUGUAUCGGAACGUACCCAGAAGUGGGGGAUAACGUAGCGAAAGUUACGCUAAUACCGCAUACGAUCUACGGAUGAACGUGGGGGACCUUCGGGCCUCAUGCUUGUGGAGCGGCCGAUAUCUGAUUAGCUAGUUGGUGGGGUAAAGGCCCACCAAGGCGACGAUCAGUAGCUGGUCUGAGAGGACGACCAGCCACACUGGGACUGAGACACGGCCCAGACUCCUACGGGAGGCAGCAGUGGGGAAUUUUGGACAAUGGGCGCAAGCCUGAUCCAGCAAUGCCGCGUGAGUGAAGAAGGCCUUCGGGUUGUAAAGCUCUUUUGUCAGGGAAGAAACGGGACUGGAUAAUACCUGGUCCUAAUGACGGUACCUGAAGAAUAAGCACCGGCUAACUACGUGCCAGCCGCCGCCGUAA
rnacentral:rRNA from 1 species